rfam:Erinaceus europaeus unplaced genomic scaffold scaffold00574, whole genome shotgun sequence
ACCCAGCUUAAAAAAUGGGCAAAAAUAAGCGUGCUGAUUGGGUUAUCAUGUGACUGCAUGAGGUGUGGCACCCACAAACCUUUUAACGACUUCGGCACAUUAUCUGUCUGACA